rnacentral:rRNA from 1 species
UACGAAGGGGGCUAGCGUUGCUCGGAAUUACUGGGCGUAAAGCGCACGUAGGCGGCUUUCUAAGUCGGGGGUGAAAUCCUGGAGCUCAACUCCAGAACUGCCUUCCGAUACUGGCGAGCUUCGAGUCCGGGAGAGGUGAGUGGAACUGCGAGUGUAGAGGUGAAAUUCGUAGAUAUUCGCAAGAACACCAGUGGCGAAGGCGGCUCACUGGCCCGGUACUGACGCUGAGGUGCGAAAGCGUGGGGAGCAAACAGGG